GUACGAAUCGUUCUGCUCAGGUUGGAUAUCAUUGUCAGAGAAAUGAGACCUCCUCUACGAUUGCAAAAAGAAGAAAAGCUCCGAAGACGGAGAAACUGAAUCUCUGUCCCAGCUAAAUGACCUCACACAGAUAGUAAGCCGUAAAGCCUGCUCUCAAACACAGAUCUUCAGCCACCUCACCCAGCAUCCUUUCCACCAUCCUUGAAGUGGACCGACCUGCUGUGCGGCAUCGAGUGCUUGUGAGCAAGUGGUG